GGGUUUACAAUGUCUGAACUUUCAGAAACAAGUGCGAUGUCUAAAUCCACGUCAACUUCCGACGAAAUUGAGCAAGGGAACUGCUCCGUUGAUGGCAAAAUAACUGCAUGUGGAGAGUCAAUUUUUCCUGCAACAAAAAUUUCAUCAUUAAUUCCAUCUGCAUAAUCUGUCUGAAGCACUUCUUUCACAAAGCCAUCAGAGUCUUUCUUUUCCAGAUCUGCCACAUUUGAAGUAUGUAAACCCAUAUUGGGAUCUUCAUGAUCUGAAUCUUCCACAAGACAACCUUGAGAAGAAACUGUAGGUAAAUUAUUAUGCGCUGCAUGUGAAGGAACAUCAGAUACAACUAUGGAAGAAUCAGAUAAACCUGUCCCAUUUUCGUCAAUGUUUGGUGACUUUGGACCAAGUUUACAGUCGCAGGAUAUUUCUUCUGAUUCAGUUUCUACGACAAUUGAAUUUGCAACAGGAACUGAAGG
rnacentral:misc_RNA from 1 species